rnacentral:lncRNA from 1 species
CUGGACAUGUAGGGAUGACAGAAUUGGAUGAAUAACUCCAUUUGAGUAGUAAAAAGCUGAAGGCGCAUAAUUGACUGAGGUAUUUUCUAAAUUUAAAAGUGGGCUCCAUUCCUUAAAUAAUUUGAAUAGUUGAGCCAACUUCGAUGAUACUAUGCCAAUGUUUUUUUAAUCUCUUAUUUGGUAGAGAUACAGAUUUUAAAAGAUCACUGAAAACUUAAGAUUUAAAAACCCUAGUGAAAUUAUUUUUAAAGCUUUUUUUUUUUUUUCUCUCUCCAGUAACAACUCUGAUUCCUUCUGUUGUAUCAGAGCUUUGCACAUUUGAAAUCAAAAUUCAUUAGUAGGAAGAAAUUGAGAGUUAUUAUAUUAGAUUAUCAAGUUAAGUAGGUUAAGAAAGUCAAACCUAUUGAGGAGACUACAAACCUGAAAGCCAGAUUUCUAGAGAUAUGUGUUUCUACUGCUUCCUGAUCUAGGACUUCAAAAAACUUACAGAGAAUUGCAUUUUUGGUGCAAAAGAAGGCUCUGCCUCCUGGAUGGAGGAAAGUCUCAAGGAAGUUCACCUUGGUGAAAUCUCAGCAAGGUGUAGAGAAAAUUCAGGAAUGUCAUCCAGUUAUGAUACAAGCUGGCAAGAGACAGAAGCCCAAGAGAGGCAGCACAGCAGACGCUGGGGAGAAGAGGAACUUGCUUGCAGUUGAUGAUACCUCUGGCCAGCCCCCAGAAUGGUGCUGAUGAGCUCUGCAAGAGCUGUCUCCAACCCUCCGCAGCUGUGGAGAUGGCUGUUGUGUCUGGCCUUAAGGGAAGGAAAAAGUAAAGAGUGGAAAAUUAGAAUGUCAUGGAGGAUAAUUGGUCCUGAACUAGUUUUAAUUUAAUUUGUUUUUAAUUAAGGGCUUAAGGUAGCCCAAAAAGAAGACAGUAAGCAAAUAACAAUGCCUCAUGACUUGCAGGUGGUUUAAGGAACAUACUUUGCAAACUAAGAAGUUAUAGGUGCUUAAUGGUGAGAACACAGGGGACCUUUCAAAAGUUUAGGUCGUGUUACUGCAAGGAUUGCAGCAUCCAGUGGCAGACACACGACUGGGACAGACAUGACUGGACCCAUGUUCCAAAUAACUUCUUGCAGUGGCCCCUGAGAGAAGUUAUGUGUGAAUAUCAACUUUAUCACAAAGAACUUGCAGGAGAGCAGCAAUUUUUUCCAAAACAGAAUUGGAUUAGUUUGACAUAUGGAAGAUGGCUGUUUUUGAUGCUGUGA